ACCUACGGGGGGCAGCAGUGGGGGAUAUUGCACAAUGGGGGGAACCCUGAUGCAGCGACGCCGCGUGGGCGAUGGAGUGCUUCGGCAUGUAAAGCCCUAUCAGCAGGGAAGAAUAAUGACGGUACCUGACUAAGAAGCCCCGGCUAACUACGUGCCAGCAGCCGCGGUAAUACGUAGGGGGCAAGCGUUAUCCGGAUUUACUGGGUGUAAAGGGAGCGUAGACGGCUGUGCAAGUCUGAAGUGAAAUGCCGGGGCUCAACCCCGGAACUGCUUUGGAAACUGUACAGCUAGAGUGCAGGAGGGGG
rnacentral:rRNA from 1 species